rnacentral:lncRNA from 1 species
GGAGUUGCAUCACAUGUUGGUCAGGGCUGCAGUCUCAUUGAACCACAGAAAGAGCUGCUUCCAAGAUUUCUUAUAUUGAUAGUGGAAUUUAUCUCCUUGUGGCACUCUCUGCUCUUAGAAGCUGCCUUUGCCAGGAGAGAACAGAUCGAAGGACCACUACAGAUCCAUGGUGCUGUCUGUGGCCCAGAGACUAUGGGAUGCUCUGUAGGAGGACAAGGGCCCUUUGGACACAGGAGACUCUCUUCGUACUGUGCAGGACCCAUUUUAUCUAAUAUCUCAACUCUGGCAGCUCAGUUCAAAUUUCCCUACUCUCCUCUCCACCACCACUCAGGAGAAGAAAGAAGACAACCAAAAGCAUUUAAAUAUAGAAGAACUCAACCCUUACAUAAGAUGUAAUCCCACCAGAACAAGUUUCACAGCUGUUGGCAAAAUGCCUGAAAUCACUGCAACAGGACUGACCAUUCAAAAAGGGAGGAAUUGCUUCCUGCAAGUGGCCAAGCUCUUUUAUGCAGCUUGUAGGUUUUCUAGAGCAAAACUUAGAUUAAAAUCCAUCAUACAUAUUUUUAGCCUGGGUGUUGGAUAUAUUUACAUAUAUUGUGUCAUUAUUUCUUCCAGGAAUACUAAAUAUAAUAAUAUGUAAGUGUUAUAGAGGCAGUGAUAGGCAAAUGAAUUGAAAUAAUCUCUAACAAGCAGC